rnacentral:rRNA from 1 species
GACGAACGCUGGCGGCGUGCCUAAUACAUGCAAGUAGAACGCACAGAAUGCACCGUAGUUUACUACACCGUAUUCUGUGAGUUGCGAACGGGUGAGUAACGCGUAGGUAACCUGCCUGGUAGCGGGGGAUAACUAUUGGAAACGAUAGCUAAUACCGCAUAAGAACAUUUACUGCAUGGUAGAUGUUUAAAAGGUGCAAAUGCAUCACUACCAGAUGGACCUGCGUUGUAUUAGCUAGUAGGUGAGGUAACGGCUCACCUAGGCGACGAUACAUAGCCGACCUGAGAGGGUGAUCGGCCACACUGGGACUGAGACACGGCCCAGACUCCUACGGGAGGCAGCAGUAGGGAAUCUUCGGCAAUGGGGGGAACCCUGACCGAGCAACGCCGCGUGAGUGAAGAAGGUUUUCGGAUCGUAAAGCUCUGUUGUUAAGGAAGAACGAGUGUGAGAAUGGAAAGUUCAUA